UGUGCCCUUGAAUCAGAUGAACGCAUCACCCCCUUUUCCUAUGGAUCACGUUCGGGCUCAUGGGUUCAACCCGUGUGUUGACUCCAUCUUCCUCGCCUCCUCGCCUCCCAAAAGCAUCAAGCCUCCAGACUAUCGGUGCCUUUCUGACCCCAUUUCCAUUCCACACUUUCCUCCUUUAAUUCCCAACCAGUCCGGCAUCCCCUCUCCAUCUUCUUUGUUUGUGUGCCACUAGUGCGAGAUGCCUCCUUUGCUCACGAGUCGAGGCCAAAUCAGCCUCCGCUUCUUAUCCCUUCAACCGUUCAACGCUCAGAUCCUUGCACUUUCUACCGCUCGGGCGAUUCCAGAGGGACACGCGCGAAGAAUUGGGCAUGUGAAGGUUGUGAGGAAGAGAGGAGGCAAGGGAGAAUGACGGUGAUUGUGUCGAUAGGGGAGUGUGAUGCGUACAUCUCCAAUUCAAAAGGCGGCUUCUCCAGGGUGUGGCGACGGCUGUGGCGGUGCGUGAGAAAGAGAACCAUGUUGCGGCCAUCUUCGUUCAUGCUAUUGGUUUUAGUUUGCAUCCAUGAGGAGCGAUUGAAGCCACAUUGGAUGUGCCUAAUGUUCCCGAAAGACCAAACAUGUACCAAUCGUCAUCAUGCUACAAGUACGAGGGCAGUAAGUGUUUCAUUACUAUGCCACUGUCUUGGUUCCACACCCCUCCUUCUGCUUUUGUAGUAAUUUUUAUGGUGUAGUCUAGCACCGAAGUUGUUUUUCCUCUGAUUUAUUUUUCUUAUUGAAAAUUACUUCCCUCACACUCAACAAUGUGAAUGUAUAUGAAUUUUUUUGGGUAGUUUGUCACAUGUCUUACUACUAAUAACGAUGGAGUGCAUCCUUUCUUUGCUUAAA